rnacentral:rRNA from 1 species
UGGGGAAUAUUGGACAAUGGGCGAAAGCCUGAUCCAGCAAUGCCGCGUGAGUGAUGAAGGCCUUAGGGUUGUAAAGCUCUUUUACCCGGGAUGAUAAUGACAGUACCGGGAGAAUAAGCCCCGGCUAACUCCGUGCCAGCAGCCGCGGUAAUACGGAGGGGGCUAGCGUUGUUCGGAAUUACUGGGCGUAAAGCGCACGUAGGCGGCUUUGUAAGUUAGAGGUGAAAGCCCGGGGCUCAACUCCGGAACUGCCUUUAAGACUGCAUCGCUAGAAUUGUGGAGAGGUAAGUGGAAUUCCGAGUGUAGAGGUGAAAUUCGUAGAUAUCGGGAGGAACACCGGUGGCGAAGGCGGUUCUCUGGGCCUUACCUGACACUGAGGAGCGAAAGCGUGGGGAGCGAAC